UGGGGAAUCUUGGACAAUGGGCGCAAGCCUGAUCCAGCCAUGCCGCGUGAGUGAAGAAGGCCUUCGGGUUGUAAAGCUCUUUUUACCAGGGACGAUAAUGACGGUACCUGGAGAAUAAGCCCCGGCAAACUUCGUGCCAGCAGCCGCGGUAAUACGAAGGGGGCUAGCGUUGUUCGGAAUUACUGGGCGUAAAGCGCACGUAGGCGGAUUGUUAAGUCAGAGGUGAAAUCCCGGAGCUCAACUUCGGAACUGCCUUUGAUACUGGCAAUCUAGAGUCCGGAAGAGGUUAGUGGAAUUCCCAGUGUAGAGGUGAAAUUCGUAGAUAUUGGGAAGAACACCAGUGGCGAAGGCGGCUAACUGGUCCGGUACUGACGCUGAGGUGCGAAAGCGUGGGGAGCAAACAGGAUUAGAUACCCAAGUAGUCCCUGAGCGGGCUGGCAAGGCGCAU
rnacentral:rRNA from 1 species